GUUUUCCUGAAGCAUAAUGGAGAGUGCAUUGGACUUCUAAUACAAAGAUCGUGGGUUCGAACCCCACCUAGAAUG